ACGGAAGGCAGCAGCUAAGAAUAUUCCGCAAUGGACGAAAGUCUGACGGAGCGACGCCGCGUGGAUGAUGAAGGUCGAAAGAUUGUAAAAUCCUUUUAGGAGUGAAGAAUAAGCGGUGCAGGGAAUGGCAUCACGGUGACGGUAGCUCCUGAAUAAGCAACGGCUAAUUACGUGCCAGCAGCCGCGGUAACACGUAAGUUGCGAGCGUUGUUCGGAAUUAUUGGGCGUAAAGGGUAUGUAGGCGGUCGUGCAAGCUUGGUGUGAAAGGCAGGGGCUCAACCCCUGGACUGCAUUGAGAACUGCAAGACUUGAAUUGCUGAAGGGCAGCCGGAAUUCCAGGUGUAGGGGUGAAAUCUGUAGAUAUCUGGAAGAAUACCAAUGGCGAAGGCAGGUUGCUAGCAGAUGACUGACGCUGAGGUGCGAAGGUGCGGGGAGCAAACAGGAUUAGAUACCCUGGUA
rnacentral:rRNA from 1 species